UACAGAGGGGGCAAGCGUUGUUCGGAAUUACUGGGCGUAAAGGGCGCGUAGGCGGCCUGUUAAGUCGAACGUGAAAUCCCCGGGCUCAACCCGGGAACUGCGUCCGAUACUGGCAGGCUUGAAUCCGGGAGAGGGAUGCGGAAUUCCAGGUGUAGCGGUGAAAUGCGUAGAUAUCUGGAGGAACACCGGUGGCGAAGGCGGCAUCCUGGACCGGUAUUGACGCUGAGG
rnacentral:rRNA from 1 species